UACGAAGGGGGCUAGCGUUGCUCGGAAUCACUGGGCGUAAAGCGCACGUAGGCGGAUUGUUAAGUCAGGGGUGAAAUCCUGGAGCUCAACUCCAGAACUGCCUUUGAUACUGGCGAUCUCGAGUCCGGGAGAGGUGAGUGGAACUGCGAGUGAGAGGUGAAAUUCGUAGAUAUCGGGAGGAACACCAAUGGCGAAGGCGA
rnacentral:rRNA from 1 species